CUGUUCGCCAAUUAAAGCGGUACGCGAGCUGGGUUCAGAACGUCGUGAGACAGUUCGGUCCCUAUCUGUCGUGGGCGUAGGAUAUUUGAGAGGCGCUGUCCCUAGUACGAGAGGACCGGGAUGGACGUACCUCUGGUGCAUCAGUUGUCACGCCAGUGGCACAGCUGAGUAGCUAUGUACGGAUUGGAUAAACGCUGAAAGCAUCUAAGCGUGAAGCCAUCCUCAAGAUAAGAUAUCCCCUCUAUUGAGUAAGACCCCUUGUAGACGACGAGGUUGAUAGGUCUGGAGUGUAAGCAUGGUGACAUGUUCAGCUGACAGAUACUAAUCGGUCGAACACUUUUCCUAA
rnacentral:rRNA from 1 species